rnacentral:tRNA from 1 species
GCCUUCGUGGUGUAGUGGUCAGCACGCUCAACGAGUAACCGAGAGGUCCAGGGUUCAAUUCCCGGCGAAGGCA